rnacentral:misc_RNA from 1 species
GUGAAUCAUCAAAUUUUUGAACGCAUAUUGCACUCUUUGGUAUUCCGGAGAGUAUGCCUAUUUGAGGGUCAUUUGAAAUAUUAUAAAUUCCAUGAUUUCUCGGAAUUUAAAAUUGGUUUUCCUUUUUUUUUGGUCGCCUAAAAUCCAGGACAAGCUCAUUGUCUUGGGUUGCGUGAUACUUUCAGUUACUUCGUGACUUAACCAGGAAUCAUCAUUAUGGCUAUUAAUUUUGUUUUAA